rnacentral:rRNA from 1 species
UGGGGAAUAUUGCACAAUGGGCGCAAGCCUGAUGCAGCCAUGCCGCGUGUAUGAAGAAGGCCUUCGGGUUGUAAAGUACUUUCAGCGGGGAGGAAGGCGAUAAGGUUAAUAACCUUGUCGAUUGACGUUACCCGCAGAAGAAGCACCGGCUAACUCCGUGCCAGCAGCCGCGGUAAUACGGAGGGUGCAAGCGUUAAUUGGCAUUACUGGGCGUAAAGCGCACGCAGGCGGUCUGUCAAGUCGGAUGUGAAAUCCCCGGGCUCAACCUGGGAACUGCAUUCGAAACUGGCAGGCUAGAGUCUUGUAGAGGGGGGUAGAAUUCCAGGUGUAGCGGUGAAAUGCGUAGAGAUCUGGAGGAAUACCGGUGGCGAAGGCGGCCCCCUGGACAAAGACUGACGCUCAGGUGCGAAAGCGUGGGGAGCAAACA